CCCUUAGAUGUUCUGGGCCGCACGCGCGCUACACUGAUGGAUUCAACGAGUGUUGUUCUUCGGAGCAGAUCCUUGGUCGGAAGGCCUGGGCAAUCUUGUAAAUGUCCAUCGUGAUGGGGCUAGAUUUUUGCAAUUCUGAAUCUCCAACGAGGAAUUCCUAGUAAACGCAAGUCAUCAGCUUGCAUUGAUUACGUCCCUGCCCUUUGUACACACCGCCCGUCGCUCCUACCGAUUGAGUGGUCCGGUGAGGCUUUGGGAUCUGAGCGGAAAGAGCGUUUCGCUGUUUCUGCUCGGAAAACUCAGUCGAACCUUAUCAUUUAGAGGAAGGAGAAGUCGUAACA
rnacentral:rRNA from 1 species